rnacentral:SRP_RNA from 1 species
AGUUAGGUCCUGUGCAAGGCGGCACCGCGAACCCCGUCAGGUCCGGAAGGAAGCAGCGGUAACGGCACACCCCUGUGCCACAGGGAAACCUGGCUGUC